rnacentral:tRNA from 1 species
AGUAAAAUGGCUGAGUUUAGGCAAUAAAUUGUAAAUUUAUUUACGGAAAAUAUCCUUUUACUA